rnacentral:misc_RNA from 1 species
AAGUCGUAACAAGGUCUCCGUUGGUGAACCAGCGGAGGGAUCAUUACCGGGUCUAGCGACUGCCCGAACCACUACACUGUGCACUAUUCCAAAACAAAUUUCUACGCUGCGGCGGGCCGCUCGCUGGAGGGGCCCCGGGCCGAAAGGCUGGCCUGCCAAAGCAACCCUUAAAAUAUUUUGAAGCACUUCUGAGAGGCGCCGAUAGCCUUUUUAUCAAAGGUGAUCACAACCCACAACAAUGGAUCUCUUGGCUCUC